GUCUCUUGGAGGUGAACUACUGUAACAGUUCAGUGUGUUAUAGUGUCUCCAGGACAUGAAAUACUGUAACAGUUCAGUGUAUUAUAGUGUCUCUUGGAGGUGAACUACUGAAAAGUUCAGUGUGUUAUAGUGUCUCUAUCUAGGAGGUGAACUACUGUAACAGUUCAGUGUGUUAUAGUGUCACUGGGAGGUGAACUACUGUAACAGUUAUGUGUGUUAUAGUGUCUCAAUGAGGUCAACAACUGUAACAGUUCAGUGUGUUUUUGUGUCACUAGGAGGUGAACUACUGUAACAGUUCAGUGUAUUAUCGUGUCUUUAUCUAGGAGGUGAACUACUGUAACAGUUCAG
rnacentral:lncRNA from 1 species